rnacentral:misc_RNA from 1 species
CCUAUUUCACCGACCAAGCAGGG